GUGCUCACUUGAGCAGCACAUACACUAAAAUUGGAAUGAUACAGGGAUUAGCAUGGCCCCUGCGCAAGGAUAAUAUGCAAAUUCAUAAAGUGUUCCAUAUUUUU
rnacentral:snRNA from 1 species